UACGUAGGGACCAAGCGUUGUUCGGAUUUACUGGGCGUAAAGGGCGCGUAGGCGGCAUGACAAGUCACUUGUGAAAUCUCUGGGCUUAACUCAGAACGGCCAAGUGAUACUGUCGCGCUAGAGUGCGGAAGGGGCAAUCGGAAUUCUUGGUGUAGCGGUGAAAUGCGUAGAUAUCAAGAGGAACACCUGAGGUGAAGACGGGUUGCUGGGCCGACACUGACGCUGAUGCGCGAAAGCCAGGGGAGCAAACGGG
rnacentral:rRNA from 1 species